rnacentral:tRNA from 1 species
GGGCCUGUAGCUCAGAGGGAGAGCGCUUGACUCGCAUUCAAGAGGUCGGGGGUUCGAUUCCCCCCAGGUCCACCA